rnacentral:rRNA from 1 species
AUUGAACGCUGGCGGCAUGCCUAACACAUGCAAGUCGAACGGAGGUAGGGGCAACUCUACUUCAGUGGCGGACGGGUGAGGAAUGCGUCGGAAUCUACCCUAUGGUGGGGGAUAACACAGGGAAACUUGUGCUAAUACCGCAUAAUGUCGAGAGACCAAAGCAGGGGACCGCAAGGCCUUGCGCGAUAGGAUGAGCCGACGCCCGAUUAGCUAGUUGGUAGGGUAAAGGCCUACCAAGGCGACGAUCGGUAGCUGGUCUGAGAGGAUGAUCAGCCACACUGGGACUGAGACGCGGCCCAGACUCCUACGGGAGGCAGCAGUGGGGAAUAUUGGACAAUGGGCGCAAGCCUGAUCCAGCAAUGCCGCGUGUGUGAAGAAGGCCUGCGGGUUGUAAAGCACUUUUGUUCGGGAAGAAAUCAUGCUGGUUAAUACCUGGUAUGGAUGACGGUACCGAAAGAAUAAGCACCGGCUAACUUCGUGCCAGCAGCCG